UUCCUACGGGGGGCUGCAGUAGGGAAUAUUGCUUAAUGUGCGAAAGCGCGAAGCAGCAACGCCGCGUGUGCGAUGAAGGCCUUCGGGUCGUAAAGCACUUUUUGGAGGGAUGAGAUAGGACAGUACCUCCAGAAUAAGCCUCGGCUAACUACGUGCCAGCAGCCGCGGUAAAACGUAGGAGGCGAGCGUUAUCCGGAUUUACUGGGCGUAAAGCGCGUGCAGGCGGUUCGGCGAGUUGGAUGUGAAAGCUCCUGGCUUAACUGGGAGAGGUCGUUCAAUACUGCCGGACUCGAGAGUGGUAGAGGGAGGUGGAAUUCCGCAUGUAGUGGUGAAAUGCGUAGAUAUGCGGAGGAACACCAGUGGCGAAAGCGGCCUCCUGGCCCAUUUCUGACGCUCAGACGCGAAAGCUAGGGUAGCAAACGGGAUUAGAUACCCCUGUAGUCCG
rnacentral:rRNA from 1 species